UACGUAUGGGGCAAGCGUUAUCCGGAUUUACUGGGUGUAAAGGGAGCGUAGGCGACGGGGCAAGCCUGAUGUGAAAGCCCGGGGCUCAACCCCGGGACUGCAUUGGGAGCUGCCCUGCUGGAGUGCCGGAGGGGCAGGCGGAAUUCCUAGUGUAGCGGUGAAAUGCGUAGAUAUUAGGAGGAACACCAGUGGCGAAGGCGGCCUGCUGGACGGUGACUGACGCUGAGGCUCGAAAGCGUGGGGAGCAAACAGG
rnacentral:rRNA from 1 species